rnacentral:sRNA from 1 species
CCGGUGGCGCACGCCACCGGCUUUACCAUGUCGCCGCUUCGCGGCU